CAGCCGCCACGGUAAUACGAAGGGUGCAAGCGUUAAUCGGAAUUACUGGGCGUAAAGCGUGCGUAGGCGGUGAGUUAAGUCUGCUGUGAAAUCCCCGGGCUCAACCUGGGAAUGGCAGUGGAUACUGGCUCGCUAGAGUGUGUCAGAGGAUAGUGGAAUUCCCGGUGUAGCGGUGAAAUGCGUAGAGAUCGGGAGGAACAUCAGUGGCGAAGGCGGCCAUCUGGGACAACACUGACGCUGAGGCACGAAAGCGUGGGGAGCAAACAGGAUUAGAUACCCGCGUAGUCCCUGUCUCUUAUAA
rnacentral:rRNA from 1 species